rnacentral:tRNA from 1 species
GCCUGGGUGGCCGAGCGGUUCUAGGCGCUACAGUCUGGAAUGCUGCGGUCGCAGGUUCGAAUCCUGCCUCGGGCA